UGAUUGGUGUGUGAGAGAGAGAGACAGGGAGAAAGAGAGGGGGAAGAUGUUGGUGGAGGUGGUGGUUGAUUCGGUUUGUUGGAUGUGUGUGCGCGCGCGUCUCGUUCACUUGUGCGACUAUCGUGCUUUUGCCGUCUCUGUGCGAGCUCGAGGGAUUGCCGUAGGCUACCAUAGCCCGUGCAUAUAUAGAUGUGAGAGAGACAGUCAGAGAAGAUGCGAUUGCGACCAUCGAGCGAUACACGAGCAACGGGCCGCACGGUCUAGUGGUGGGCUUGUUUACACAGGCUAGUAUUACCGGACGAGUCUCUCAUUUCUUGCCCUGGCUUCCUCCUCCACGCCGGAUGCACUCACACAGCCCUGCUGCUGUUGCUGCUGCUCAAUGUCAACUGCCGUGCGUGAUCCCGCGGGUAUCCUUUUUUUUUGUUGAUUAAAAUUACAUAACCUCUAAUACGGCGGAGCAACUAGCGGCCCGCUCGCUAGUUUCUAGUGCUGGUGCCGUCGAACCAAACAAACCCAUCCCGGACCCACCCACGGAAGACGACGGAGUGUGUAUGCGCGCGCGCGCGCUAUUUCGGCGCCCAUUUCGUCACCUCCAGAGAUCGUUGGGAUCGUGUGUGUGUGUGUUUGGUAUCUGUCUGACACCGUGCAACGGUGUGUUGGUUGCGUGCGUGCGUGCGGGCGUUUCUAGCAUCACUGCUCGUGCUCCCACACACUGGCACCGAUACGGUGCGAGGUGUGAAUGAAAAAGGGUGUGCGUGCGUGUGUGUGCGGGGCGCCUCCAUCAACCUUCAUGACUCACUCAACCACAACUGCCUCUCGCACACACCAACGUUACUACUACGCUACAACAACAAUCACCCAAUUGACGCUGCACUGUAUGCAGUUGGAGUGCGCUUUUUCCGACUUUUCCCCCAGCCACACCUGCAGGAUGGAAAAGCGCGCAACAGCAGGCAGCGCCAUCGUAACGCAACACACAUUCGCAACGGGCUUCUGUGGCAACGCGAACCGAAGAAAAACCACCCGGAUGAUGGGGUGUUGGAAAAGCGGGCCCCAUCACCCAGGGGGGAAGGGAAGGGAAACGAUCGAGACUUUUCCGAUCCUGACGCAUCGGUCGGGACGCGUACUGGCACGGUCGGAUGACGGCGCACCGGAAAAUUCGGCCCGCAAAGAAACAUCUGCUUCCUCUGGAGGUUGUUUUUUUUUUUGUUAUACCACGGGGGUUGUACCUGCCAACGAGGUUAACAAGGUUCGGAAAUUGUGCUGACCGAGAAACAGACCUUCCCGGGGCCAAAUUCUUGGUAAAGGUUUGAUUGUGGGGAGCAGCUUGGCAGGUUACCACACGAAGCAUUAGUACAUCUGGCUCUACACUGACACUAGCUCUUAGUGAACUGUCAUUUUUUGUUUUUCUUUUUCAGAACACACGCACACACACACUGAUUUCAAAAUAAAGGUGGAAAAAAGUAACACAACACGCAAAAUUCUGUUUGCUUGUUGUCGUCGGGCACAAGGAUGCUUACGGAAGCACACUACACUAGCGAAGCGAACCAAGCACACGAUAAAAAGUACGUUAAAGACGAGUAGGCGCUAUAUAAAAUAAAAAUGCUACCAACUAGAACAAAAAAGGCAGAAACCCAAAUAAAUAAACGUACAGUAAA